rnacentral:rRNA from 1 species
CAAUAGCGUAUAUUAAAGUCGUUGCAGUUAAAAAGCUCGUAGUUGGAUUUGUGGCGUACGGUGUGUUCCGGGCACUUGUUGUCUGAGUAACCUGCUGUUGCCAUCCUUGGGUGGAACCUGUGGGGCAUUAGGUUGUCGUGCAGGGGAUGCCCAUCAUUUACUGUGAAAAAAUUAGAGUGUUCAAAGCAGGCUUAUGCCGUUGAAUAUAUUAGCAUGGAAUGAUGAGAUAGGACUUUUUUGCUAUUUUGUUGGUUUGCGCAAAGAGGUAAUGAUUAAUAGGGACAGUUGGGGGUAUUCGUAUUCCAUUGUCAGAGGUGAAAUUCUUGGAUUUUUGGAAGACGAACUACUGCGAAAGCAUUUACCAAGGAUGUUUUCAUUAA